AGGAUCCCCACUGGCCACCCCAUUCCUACUGUGUUUGAGGACACAUGGACAAAGCCGCAGCUCAGGGCUUCGUAAGAUGCAGAUGCCUCCAGCUAUUACGAGUCCCAUGGCAACAAGGAUCAGAGGCAGAGCCGCUUUCCAUGCCGUGAACUGGGAGCUUCUGGAGAAGGUAGCUGGAGAAGAUUCCCAGAAGCCAGGAAUACUGGGGUGAAUGGAUCAAUAAACAGUGGUCCAUCCAGAUCCUGGAACGUUAUUCAUUUCACAAAAGAAACAAGUUAUCAAGGCAUGAAAAGACAUGGAGGAAACCUAAAUGCGUACCACAAAGUGAGGGAAGUCAAAGUGAAGGGGCUACAGAGGCACUGUCCCAACUACAGGACAUUCCAGAACACCUGGAAACUAUGGAGACAGUGAAAACAUCAGUGGUGCCCAGGAGUUAGGGGAGAUGAAUGAGCGGAGCACGGAGGAUUAAGGGCAGUGACAUUAUUUUGUAUGAUACUAUGACAGAUAUGUGGCGUUAUAUAUUUAUCUAGAACCAUGGGACACCAUGCCAAGAGUGAGCCCUCAUGAAAACUGUGCACUCUGGGUGCUGACGGCAUUGUCAACGGAGGUUCAUCAAACAUGGUGGACGUUCCUUCUGGUGUAGGGUUUUUAUGCUGGGGGAAGGUGUGUGAGGGGGUUAGGGGAAGAUGGGAACUCUCUGGACUUUCUACUAAAAUUUGUUGUGACCCUAAAACUGCUUUAAAAAAUAAAGCCUAUUUUAAAAAACCCUAAAA
rnacentral:lncRNA from 1 species